AUUGAACGCUGGCGGCAGGCCUAACACAUGCCAGUCGAACGGUAACAGAAAGCAGCUUGCUGCUUUGCUGACGAGUGGCGGACGGGUGAGUAAUGUCUGGGAAACUGCCUGAUGGAGGGGGAUAACUACUGGAAACGGUAGCUAAUACCGCAUAACGUCGCAAGACCAAAGAGGGGGACCUUCGGGCCUCUUGCCAUCGGAUGUGCCCAGAUGGGAUUAGCUUGUUGGUGGGGUAACGGCUCACCAAGGCGACGAUCCCUAGCUGGUCUGAGAGGAUGACCAGCCACACUGGAACUGAGACACGGUCCAGACUCCUACGGGAGGCAGCAGUGGGGAAUAUUGCACAAUGGGCGCAAGCCUGAUGCAGCCAUGCCGCGUGUAUGAAGAAGGCCUUCGGGUUGUAAAGUACUUUCAGCGGGGAGGAAGGGAGUAAAGUUAAUACCUUUGCUCAUUGACGUUACCCGCAGAAGAAGCGCCGGCUAACUCCGUG
rnacentral:rRNA from 1 species